UACGUCGGGGGCAAGCGUUGUCCGGAAUCAUUGGGCGUAAAGCGCGUGUAGGCGGCCCGGUAAGUCCGCUGUGAAAGUCGGGGGCUCAACCCUCGAAUGCCGGUGGAUACUGUCGGGCUAGAGUGCGGGAGAGGCGAGUGGAAUUCCUGGUGUAGCGGUGAAAUGCGCAGAUAUCAGGAGGAACACCAAGUGCGAAGGCAGCUCGCUGGAACGUAACUGACGCUGAGACGCGAAAGCGUGGGGAGCAAACAGG
rnacentral:rRNA from 1 species